rnacentral:rRNA from 1 species
UACGUAGGGUGCAAGCGUUGUCCGGAAUUAUUGGGCGUAAAGAGCUCGUAGGCGGUCUGUCACGUCGGCUGUGAAAACUCGGGGCUCAACUCCGAGCCUGCAGUCGAUACGGGCAGACUAGAGUUCGGUAGGGGAGACUGGAAUUCCUGGUGUAGCGGUGAAAUGCGCAGAUAUCAGGAGGAACACCGGUGGCGAAGGCGGGUCUCUGGGCCACUACUGACGCUGAGAAGCGAAAGCAUGGGGAGCGAACAGG